AAAGAGAUAAACCAUGGGUUUUCAUAACCAACGUUUGACUGUACAUUUUAUAUGAAAUUUUGUUAUAAUUGUUAUUUUCAUUGUUGUUAGAUGAUAAAACAUGAUUAAUACUUUAUACGUGACUUGUCUUUUUAAUUAUUUUUAUAAUUUUUUUUAAAUAAGAUGGAAGAUUAAAUAUUGACACGGAAAUCUAGGGUU
rnacentral:pre_miRNA from 1 species